GACCCAACUGACCGGUGAAGACGAAAACAGCAUCGAGACAGACUGAACUCAAACAUCCAACACCCAGUCUCUGCACUGGCUGUUCCCUCUCUGGAAGAUCCCUGACCUCACCACGGCUGAUUCUUCUGAUGACACGACUCCUGAGACAAAAGAAACGUAUCCAGAUGUCCUGAAAACGAUGAGACCUUGAGUCAGCUAGAUUAGCAGUAAGGCGACCUCUCACCUACCGUCAUCUCUUGGAAACUGAAAGCAGAACAAAGGCUUAUUCGGUAAGGGGAAAUCUACCUCUGUCCCUGGCUGUUAUAGAAGAACUCUGGACAUUCCUUGAGCAGAGUAUUGAAGUGUCCAGAGCUCACCUGGAGAAGACGGGAGAGUCAUAUACGAGGAGCCUUUACAGUCACCGACAGAUGAGGGUGAGAGAUUCUGAGGUGAUGGAAGGAGAGCGAGCGAGUGAGGGAUGAGGGGCGCUGCUGUGAGUGGUUCUUUGGCAGUGUCUUAGCUGGUUGUUGUGUGGAGUGAGAACGAAGCAAUCAGCAAGUAUACUGCCGCAGAAACUCAUCACCUUAGGAAGCCCAUCCAUCCGACCCCGCUCACGCACUCCGCUGCCCACCCGCACUUACAGCCUGGGGAGAGACAAGAAAAGAGAAACUUAUUACCAAGCUUCUCUUCCCAUUCAUUCUUCUUCUAGUUGUGAGUGUGAGCUUUUGUUUCCGUCACUGUCGUUUGAACACGUUCAGCGACUGAUUUCAUGAAUGUUUCAAGUGAAAGACUGAUUCAUGCUUACAGUAUCUUGGGUCAUUUUUUCCAUGACGUUGUUGUCAUAGUUUAGAUCAAACCUCUUUCUUUUUUUUUUCUCUUUUCCAUGAGAUCAGGAGUGAUUUAGUCACAUCUUAUUGUGAAUAUCAGCUGACCAGAUUUCAGUGUUGAAAUUAACUUGUUGUGAUCUGUUUAUAUUUGACCUAUAUAGAUUAUAGUCUGAUGACAUAUUCAGAUGACUUUGUGUCGUAAUAAUGUUCAUUAUGAAGUGUGUUAAUUAAUUAAAAUAUACAUUAUCAUCAUAAUGAUAGUAAAAAUAUCUGAAUUUGAAAAUAAAAGAUAUAUAUUAAUGUAAACACUUUGUAUAAUAUAGAUAUAUAUUAAUGUAGACACUUUGUAUAAUGUGCACUUUUUAAAUAAAUUUAAUUUAAAUGUAUUUUUAAUAGACUGUAUUUUUAUGAUAAAAAUAUAUGAAUGCAUCAUUACUGUCAUGUGUUAUUUCUCUAUGUCUGGUUUCUGUUUAAAAUUAACUUUAAAGCAAUUUGUGUGUAUCAAGUCGAGUUUCAUUUUCAGGGAAUUUCAUUAGUGUUUUGGUUUCGGUUGUUGAUCAUCAAAAGAGUGGUUUGAGCAGGUGAAUGAAACGCCCGUAACUCACUUGGGUUUUUGAUGUAAUCACAUCAGUGUGGCAAUAAGUCUGAACUUGUCCGGAAAGCUGAAAAUCAAUUUAGUAAGGUCUUUUACAAAGUAUUAAAGCACUCUGUUUUAAAUCAUACCUUGAAAAUGAGAUAACAGUGUAGCCUUCACAGAUUUAAUAUCACAAACAUGUUACUUUAAAAGGUAUGUUGUUGGACACCAUAUAUAUCAAAGUGCAAGUGCAACAAUAGCAAAUUAACUGUAUGGAUAACCUCAGGUAUUUGUCCAAUAGACCAGUUUAAUCACUUGCUGGAUUGGAUCUUAGUGCCAACACUGUCAAUCACAUUUUUAUGCAACGAUUUUGGGGGCAAACAUAUGUUGAUUCUGUUUUGAAUUUUAUUUUAUUUUAUCUCUUUACUUUAGUCUGAAUUGCAUUCUGUCAGGAGUUUUAUUUGGAAAUAUUAUCUGUGAUGAAAGAUCAAAACUGAACUUGCCUUGUUAACCAGACCUCCUGAUGUGAUUCAUGCACAUACCAGAAUACAAAAUAAACGGUUUUACCCCAGUCCCC